AUAUAUUUAUUCGGCUUGGUCACACUUUUACACUGAUUUUUCUCUCCAACUCAUAGCUGCGUUUUGAGAAAUAGACUAACGCAAUAAAAACAAUAUAUUGCCAUUUAGAUAAAAACUUUACAAUUGAUUUAUUACAUUUUAUAAUUUGGAUUGCCAAAGAGUAUAUUAUAUCUUCAGUCAGAAGUUUGUAACGCAGUGACGGAGACGUGCCCUACCCCAUAAAGUAUAUACAUUCUUGAUCAGCAUCACUAGUCGAGUCGAUCUAUAUCUAUAACUCCCAUAGGAAUAAUCGGGAAAAGUGUUUAAAAAAUGAUAACUUUGAUGUUUUUUUUUUAACAUUUUAAUAAAUUCUCAAUUUGGAAUUAACUUUUAUCGAAAUUGGACGACUAUAUCCAUAUUUCUGCCAUACAAACGAUUGGAAUUGUGGUCGGCAGACAGAUUUAAGCGUUUUGGCCUUUUUGGGCGUUAGAGGGGGCGGGGCAUUUGUGGGCGUUAGAGGGGGCGUGUCCCCUUUUUUUUGGCGCUACAUAUUUUCGCGGAUUGUGGGCGUUAGAGUGAGCAUGGCAUCCUGCUUGCCCUGCGUAGGAAGCCCAGGAAUCCGCAUGCCAAGUAUGAAUAUUCUACCUCAUACAGUUUCCGAGAUUUUAGCUGUCAAACGGACGGGCAGACAGACGGAAAGACGGACAUGGCUGGAUCCUGAUAAAGAAUAUAUAUACUUUUUGGAGUCGGAAACGCUUGCUUUUACCUGUUACAUAGUUUCUGACGAAUCCACGAGUGACGGUUAUAAAAAUUAUAUAUUUGGUGUUUUUUAGCAUAGAACCUCCUACGUUUGGAAAAAAACAUUUUUUAUUUAGGAUGGAAUUUACAAUUUAAUUUAAUCAAAUCGGAUGACUAUAUCAUAAAGCUGUUAUAGGAACGAUCAGAAAAUUCGUGGGAAAAUAAAAUUAAACAAAUUAUA